rnacentral:rRNA from 1 species
GCGGUGAAAGAUGGUCUCGCGUCCCAUUAGUUAGUUGGUGAGGUAACGGCUCACCAAGACUGCGAUGGGUAGCCGGCCUGAGAGGGUGAACGGCCACACUGGAACUGAGACACGGUCCAGACUCCUACGGGAGGCAGCAGUGGGGAAUAUUGCACAAUGGAGGAAACUCUGAUGCAGCGACGCCGCGUGAACGAUGAAGGCUUUCGGGUCGUAAAGUUCUGUCCUAGGGGACGAUAAUGACGGUACCCUAGGAGGAAGCCCCGGCUAACUACGUGCCAGCAGCCGCGGUAAUACGUAGGGGGCGAGCGUUGUCCGGAUUUAUUGGGCGUAAAGGGUUCGCAGGCGGUCUCUUAAGUUAGAUGUGAAAGAUCACGGCUCAACCGUGGUAAGCAUUUAAAACUGGGAGACUUGAGUUAAGGAGAGGAAAGUGGAAUUCCUAGUGAAGCGGUGAAAUGCGUAGAUAUUAGGAGGAAUACCAGUGGCGAAGGCGACUUUCUGGACUUAUACUGACGCUGAGGAACGAAAGCGUGGGGAGCAAACAGGAUUAGAUACCCUGGUAGUCCACGCCGUAAACGAUGAGUGCUAGGUGUCGGGUGUCAAAGCUCGGUGCCGCAGCUAACGCA